rnacentral:lncRNA from 10 species
GUUCACACAACAAUGAGAAAGUACGGGUAGCCUGCAGAAAGACCUCUCCAUUCAUGGUCCCCCAGGGGUGUGGGUUCUGAGAGGUGGGACCAGCUGCCAGGCCCUUUCUCCAUUGGUUGAGUUCAGCAGGUAACCUGAAGCUUUGCUGAGAGGUGCAUAAAUAAAGAGUGAAACUAGUACCACCUCCUUGAAAUGGGCUGAGUCCCUCUUGCUCACCCUUGACUUGGAAAAACCAGUUUCUCUUUUAUUGUCUGUUACUAAUCUCUAUUCUAAAAAUUCAGCUCAAUUCUCAACCAUACUCCAAACUCUCUCUUUUCCAGCUACCUUUACUCCCUCUCCUUCAAUUCCACUUUCCUCUGCUUACUUUUUUUUUUUUUCUGACAGGGUCUCACUUUGUCGCCCGGGCAGGAGUGCAGUGGCUCAAUCUUGGGCUCACUGCAGCCUCAACCUCCCAGAGGCGGGGUUUCACCAUGUUGCCCAGACUGGUCUUGAACUCCUGAGCUUAAGCAAUCCACCUGCCUCGGCCUCCCAAAGUGUUGGGAUCACAGGCGUGAGCCACCGCAUCCGGCCUCAUGUUCUUUUUCAUUAAAGAGAGAAAUCAACUAUUCAGGACCGGCCCCCACCUUUCCUCAGGAGUCAUUUCUGUUCCGCACAGGCCUGCUGAACUGGGUGCUUUAUAUAGGACACUGUCAUCUCUCAAGUACCCAUCUUGGAGGGUACGGACCCCACAUGAGGGUGAGGCUCUCUGCACACUCCAGAAUUUCAGUGGAGUGAAGUUCAGGAGGCAUGGAGCUGACAACCAUGAGGCCUCGGCAGCCACCGCCACCACCGCCGCCGCCACCACCGUAGCAGCAGCAGCAGCAGCAGCAGCAGCAGCAGCAGCAGCAAGAGUAACUCUGACUUAGGAAUAGAGACAGCCAGAGAGAAAUGUGAUCAAUGAAGGAGACAUCUGGAGUGUGCGUGCUUCUUCAGAGGGACGGGUGAUGGGCAGAUUGGAAAAAGCACCGCAGAUGGGAACCUUAAUCUUUCUUUUCUAAAAUUGAUGCUAUGAAAAUUUGCGUUUUCUGUAACUUGUAAAAACUAAAAGUUGCUUGUCUACUGAAAAGCCUCUCUGCCUCUAUGUUUUAUACCAUCGGAUGCCAACUCCCGGCCUUCUAAGCCACCUCCCCUUUAGGCUAAAACUGAGACAUGAACUUGAAAAAUUGACACUGGCUUCCUCUCUCUUUAGGGUCCCCAGGCAGGUGGCUGGGACACUAUUUGCAAUCAGCAAGGAACCCUGCUGCCCUUAGACUCCCCACAGAGCAAGCAGAACUUGCAGAAUGGGGUAAAAACACUCUAUUAAAGAUUUUUUAAACCUAUUUAUAUUGUAAUAAAGUAAAUGUAAAUAAAAUUUAAGUGAAGGCAGAUUGCAGAUAUUUCCGAUGCUAUACAAGAUAUAUCUCAUAGUAUGGGUGUAGAUUCUGCAAAGGUUAAUGCAGUUAAACAUAUUUGACACAUAAAAAUGUCAGAUCCAACAUUAAUCAUUCACCAAUUGUAAUUGCCUUUCUAUGGGUCUCUUCUCCCCAAGACAUAGCUUAAAACACCAGGCUCGGUAGAAAUCUGGGAGGAAAAAAGCAAAUAAUACCUCUCAGCUGUCAGGGUCUAUGAUACGCUUUGAUAGAUUUAGCACUGAUUUCAUUCUCUUUACAAUUCAGUGUGAUUGGGUGUGCGUGUGUGUGUGUGUGUGUGUGUGUGUGUGUGUGUGUGUUACUCCAUGUUUCUCCUUUUUAAGGAAGGAGAAGGUGUGGAACAAGAGAAAGUUCCUAAGUCUGAAGGAAGUCCAACCCAGUUAUGAAGGGAAUGCCAUCCACAAGCCUUUUUUAUAAUUGGCCCCUGCCUCAGGUAAAGGGGUCUCCUUUAAGGAGCCAGUCUGGCUAAAUUGGCAGAUUCUGAACAAAGCCUGGCCCUGACAAGUCUUCAGAAAAACCGGUUUUCACCUCCAGAAUGUGCCCCAG